AAUCUAAUUAAAUCUUGACAAAUAAAAAAUAUUAUCUAAAAUCAUGGAAAUCAUGACAAAUAAGCCAAAUCACUUCAUAAAUAAUAGUAUAGAUUAUCCAUUAAUAACUAUUUACCUAUGUUAUAUUUGUAAAAAGAAAAUUCCCAUGCGAAGCAUGGGCUCAAACUAGUAUAUACAUAAACCCUGUAUUUACUCCACCCAUAAACCCUAAAUACUAAAUCAGCAAGUCGAUCGAUUCUCUCUCGGAAGCUCUUCUUCAGUUGUGACCGUGAGUGCUCAUUGAGGUAUCAUAUCAUCUUCUUCUUCUCUUCUUCAAGAGCAUAAAGACUAGUGUUUUUUAUCAAUUCAUCAAUGCCCUUCUAGUGUUUUUUUUUUUUGCUUGCUUCGUAAUCUUACAGGUGUUUCUUGUAUCUCUUGAAAUAAGGACUUGUGUCUUAACAUCAAACUUGUUUGAUUUGUUUUUUCAGAUGCUUCAGAUUGCUUUUUAUUUGUCAUGUGGUGCCACAGCAUGUUACCUUUGGGGCCGGAGGAUUAAAGCGUUAGUCUUUUCCUCUUCCCAACCCUUUUGGAUUUUGAAUGUGUUGAAACACCUUUUAUCAAUCGAUAUGUGUGUUUGUGUUCCUGCGAUGGUGCAGGAAAGCUGACUCUUUUAGCAGUAUCACACGUGUGGUGGACUUCAAACGGUUAGGUGUGUUUUCUGUUUUAUAGUUAAGACUCUUGUUAUUAUUAUUUUAUUAAUUGGUUUCUGAUUACAAGUGAUCAUCAUGUUUUUUUCCUUCUCUUAGAUGAGCUGCUUAAAGAGAAAGCCUCGAAGCUCCUUGUUGUUGUGUCGGGAAAAGUUGCUUCUGCACUCCUUUGGGUGCUGUUUUUUAUGCUAAGGUAAAAGACUUCUUUUAUCUUCUAAAAAGUUGUCGUCAGCAUCAUCGUUCUCUGGUCUGGUGGUGUUAUUUUUAGUUAGAACAACAUGUAUACUGUGUCUUUCAGGCCGAAAUGGGGUGUACUGAGACCGAGUUGGGGGAUGAUGGUAGCGCUUGGAUAACAAAGUCUCAUAAUUUUCUGUUUCAAGUAAAGCGUUGUCCUUGGUAUCUUGUAAGUUACAUUCUCAAAUACCUUCAUUUUUUUUUUUGCUAUGUCUUGCCUGCCCCUCAUGACUUGAAGCCUACCUCUUUCUCUCGCUCGCUCAAUCAACUAUUUAGGAAGACAGUACUGGUGUGGUGAAAGUAGUGGGAGCUGAAGCUGCUGAUGACUUUCUUGAUACUCUGACACCGCAUUUGGAUAUGUCACUAAGUGAAAUCUUUGGUAGUAUUGUAGAACCUAAACAAGGCUCUCAGGUUACCUUUUCUCUUUCAUUUUUUUUUUGUCUUUCUCUGUUUAUUUUAGUCUUUUUCAUUGGGUUGGAACCAACAGUGUGAUUGUUUUCAUCUCUAGACGAUUUUUCGGGCUUCUCUCGAUACUGGUACCUCCUUAACUAUUAUUGGCGAGGUAAAGGAAGCCCCCAUGUGUUUAUUCUUUAUAUUGUGGAUCAUGUAAGAGUGGCUGUGCAAGCUAAUAUAAGUUGAUGUGUCUGUGUCCUUGUCUGUACUGUAGGCUGCUAGAGACGAAGCUGGUAAUCUCACGAUUCAAAACACCAAUGAACAGCCUUUUAGGAUCUUCAGUGGAGAGGGCUCGUUUGAUAAAAUGGUUGCCAACUUGAAGUCAAAUUCAGAGUUUUAUUUUUUCUAUUCCAAGAUCUUUGGAACUAUUGCUUUUGCUAUAGUUGUUUUUAAAGGCGUGAGUUUCAUACGAAGGGUUUUACGUGAGAGAGCAGAUAAUGCUGAUUCAGACGACGAAGAAACGCCAUGAGGGAGUAGAAUCAGACAACAGUAGUUUAUAGGAUCAGCUUUAAAGGCUCAGGCAGAAGAAUCAGACACCAAUGAUUUAUAACUAGGAUAGAUUUUUUAUCUAUGGUAUUGGGUAGGCAAAAUGUUUAUGAAUAUUUUAACAAACCAUCGUUUCUUAUUCUGACAGAUGAACAAAUUUAAAAAAAAAUUAUAUUGUCCAAAUUAACUAUGUGAUUCUAUUA